rfam:Beauveria bassiana D1-5 contig01242, whole genome shotgun sequence.
GCCUUCAUGGUCUAGUUGGUUAUGACAUAGGUCUCAUACGAGUAUAUCUCUGUGACUCAAUCUUAGAUUGAGAAAUCCUGGGGUCGGCAGUUCGAACCUGUCUGAGGGCA